UCCAAGUGCCCUCUGGACAGGUGCUCAUAGCGAGCGACACCCUCUGGCUGCAAAGCUGGUCACCUCCCCAUGUGACCAGAUUCCCAUAGCGACCCCCUCUGGCUGCAGGGGGCUGGUCACCUCCCCAGGUGGACCGUUGCCAGUUGGGACUCCUUUGCCGCAGGUGGAUACUCCAUCACCUGGCUGGCACGGGGCCGUACGCUAUUUGUGGUCGCGACCUAAACCCAAGCACCACUCAACGCUAGGAGAAUCCCCCUGGGCUCCUGCUCUCCCUGCUGUGAGUGCCGUUCUCAUUAGUUUCAAUAGGAGAUGGGAAAAGUUUCUUCUCCAUGUACCUCCUUCCCCUAAGUUUUCUGUACAUCCUCGAGAGUGAAAGCUUUUUCCAGCUGCACCCGAGCUGAAAUGGCAAUUUUAUUUCUGUCCUUCAUGUAGCCAGAGCGAGGAUUACCCAGCCACCAGUUAUUUGCUGGUUUCAGCACUGUUCUGGUUCCCACCCCCCUUGUUAAUUGCCACAGGGAGUGUGGGAAAAAAGGGAGGGAUUGCAGGCAGCUCUUGACCUGCAGGUCACAGCGGGGGCUGCCUUUGCAGCUCCCCAGCUCUCUCAGGGGGCGGAAACAAGUUUUGGGAGGGCGGUGAUGCUGAAUGGCUCUCAGUGCCUGUUGCUUUUGGAAGCUGGUGUCGAAACCAGACAGAGAAUGCACUUAUUGUUUCGUUCUAAGAGAAUUCCAAGCCACUGCUUUUCAUCUGUUGAAUGUCUGGGGCUUGCCUACUGAGACAGUGGCUGGAGCACACAGGCUCCCUCCUCCCUGCCGGUCCGCCCAGGCUCGGCUGACCACGGCCACGGCCAAUGGUCUUUGCUUUUCCUUCCCUGGCCAUCUGGCCUCCACCUGGUGGAUAGUCACGGGCUUUCCAGACUCCUCCCAGCUGCCUGGAGAGUUGGCCAGGCUGGAGCCCUGGGGAGCGUGGGGUCAUCAUCUUUGGGUGAAGUGGUCCUCCUCAGCCUUUGGACGGUCCAGCAUGUGUCGCUUCACGUCCCCUGCCUGCUCUGGGGUGGGGGUGGGGGGCCGAUUGGUUUUGCUCUUGCGUCCAGCGCAGUGACGGGACCGCGUCAGAACCUGGGCACCAUGAGAUUUGCUUUACACGUGGCUGGAGGCGAGAAGAGGCACCAGGAGGCCUUUGGGGUGGAGGGUCAACCCUGCUGGGUGGGCACAGUUGUGAAAAUGUAUCCGCAGAAAAUUGGAAGGAGCACUGUCAUGACAGCUCAAUUUUGUUGUCGAACGUUCCGACGUUCUUUGGGCUCAUCUGGUGACCAAUCUGCAGAGCUAUCGUGCUGCCUGGCGUGGCAACCUCACCGCCCGGCAGAUGGCUCAUUAGCUUGGUACUUGUUUAUUCUCCGUGUCUUGUUGUCAUCUGACCCUGCUCUCUCAGACCAUCUCCUUCGGGCGCCCAAACACCGAAUGCAGCUCUUCAGGGCCGUUUACCACCGAUCAGAGGACUGGGGUUCUGCCUAAAUCCGUGCUCCUCCAUCCUGGACGGACCCUGGGGUUAGGCUCCAGCAGCCACCCCUCCCCUCUGCCUGCACCACAUCAGCCCAGAGGCUCCCUGGCGUCCUUGACCUGCAUUCCUGAUCCUGGCUUGGCCACCAGAAUCGCAGCCAGUAUUUACAGAGAGAUGACAAAGAUAGCACGCAGAGUUCUCAUGGACCCUGCACCAGUUUCCCCCAUGAUCAACAUGUUACCUUAGCGGGCUACACUUAUCAGAAUGAAUGAACAGAUCCCAGCCAGGAAACCACGUAACAUCAGGCAUCCUGUCUCCUGGGGAUCUUCGGGCUGUGACAGCUUCUCAGACUUUCCUGGGUUUGAUGCCCUUGAGAGUUUCAAGGAGGACUGGACUUCUUUACUUUCUGAGACCGCAAGACGUUGCAGCUCAUCUUGUAUACUUCCUGCCCUGGUCCUAGAAUCAGCCAUCUCUCCAAGGCACCCUGGUUCUUUUUACUGGAGAAUGGUAUUAAGAACCAGCAUCUGGUCCUGAGUGUGCUCAUUGCUGCUGGAGUUGCUGCAAGGCUCAGCUGUCCCUUACAGCUGACUGAGCAAGAAAAUAUAUGUGGGCCUACUGAGCCAUGUGUCUACGCAUGUCUAUAAAUACUUCCACGUAGAGCCUCGGUAUCUAUGUUAAGUCAAACGUGGCCGUAUUGGUGUCUCCCGCUCGAGUCCAUUACCAUGUGGACCGUUGCUGCACUUCUUCUUGCACAUCUGUUACCUCCCACUCCCACGGCGAGAAAGCCACCGCCUACCACCCGUGACUUGUUCAACUCCAGUAUCUAUGUGUUCGGUGUUUGCAGGGCCUGUCAGGGGUGGGUGGGCUCUCAGGGCCUGGCCGUCUGGAUGUAGAGGUGAGGAAGGGCUGGAGGCGUUUCUGGCUGGGAAACCAGUCUACCCUGUGAGCUGCCCGCUCCCAGCUCCAUAACCAUGGUCACCGAGCAAUCCAGGCUCCCCAAGCUGGAGGCUGAGGGCCAGCAGUGUUGCAGGAGUUUAUCAUCUGCUGUGGAAUUCACAGAUGACUGAGCUGCUUCUCUGCAGAGCGUUCGAUAAGGGGCCUGGACAGAUGCUCAUUUCUUCCUCCCAGCCCGGGCAGGAUGCGGUGGCUGCAGAAAGAAGGAGGUGACAGGAAGGGUGUUUUGAUGAGCACUCACACGUGGGGGGUAGGAAGAAUGCACAGUUCGACAAACCGUCCAAGGCUGGAGGGAAUAAAUAAAGACGCUGGGAAGGGACCUAUCAGAUGACCCUGAGACAAUCUUAAACCCAGGAAGGAUGUAUAAGGAAUGAAGAGUCUCAAACGAAAAAAGACCUACUGUGUAGCACAUGUAACUGUACUCAAUACUUGUCCCUCAAUAAGGGAAAAGAAUCUGAAAAAGAAUAGAUUUAUAUAUAUGCAUAACUGAAUCACUGUGCUGUACACCUGAACUAACACGACAUUCUAAAUCAACUAUACUUCAAUUAAAAAAAGAAAAAGAAAUUAAAAAAAGACUCUCCAUGUGCUGGAAGAGGAAGAACGGGAGUUAAUGUUUUUUGUUUUUUGUUUUUUGCGGUACGCGGGCCUCUCACCGUUGUGGCCUCUCCCGUUGCGGAGCACAGGCUCCGGACGCGCAGGCUCAGCGGCCAUGGCUCACGGGCCCAGCCGCUCCGCGGCAUGUGGGAUCCUCCCGGACCUGGGGCACAAACCCGUGUCCCCUGCAUCGGCAGGCGGAUUCUCAAUCACUGCGCCACCAGGGAAUCCCCAGGAGUUAAUUUUGAACUAAGCCGUGAAUCUCUUGAUGAGAAGCCCGAGGUUGCAAUGGCAACUUCAAAGCAAAACGUUGAAAGGUAGUCUUUCAUCCAAAAGUGACCUCCCCUUUGAAAAGUCCCCAAUCCAGACCCAGGUAGCGUGGGCAGGGCCCCCAGGAGCCCACCUGAUGAGACUGAUGGUUUCAUAAGGGUUCAGCACGGGGUCUGCUCCUGGAACAGGGCUCUACUGGGGCUGGGGUUGAAGCCCUUCCUGUUACUUUGCCCUCCUUGGAGGGCAUCUGAGUUUGGGGCAAGUUACUUGCCGGCUGUGGUCAUCCCCUGCUGUGGCCAGGAGCCCCUCUGUCUGUGUUUUGUGGGUCAGCAGAGCUAGCCUGAAUAUUUUGCUCAAAAGUAGCUCAACACUGUCAGUGGACCCAGGAAGUCCCCUGUAACCUGACCCUGAGGACGAGUUUUUCGUAGACAUUUAUAGAUUGCCAGGAGAGUGAAGAAAACUUCAUCUUCUCUGUCCCCCUGACACCACCCCAAAUGUAGCUGGGACAUUACAUCAGUGUCACGUGUUCCUUUCUCCAUCUCUGAGACGUCGAUGCUCAUCAGAAUUUGCAAGGGAGGUCACGGAGCUCAGAGCUCGACGGUUCUUGGAAGCAGGCCUGGGCUGUCAGAGGCAGCUUCCCCCAGUGUGUGCAUGUGUGCUUGUGUGUACGUGUGCCUGUGUG